rnacentral:rRNA from 1 species
CCUGCCCAGUGACCCCCCAGUUUAACGGCCGCGGUAUCCUGACCGUGCAAAGGUAGCGCAACCACUUGUCUUUUAAAUAGAGACUUGUAUGAAAGGCAUCACGAGGAUCAAACUGUCUCCUUUUUUCAAUCCGUGAAACUAAUCUCCCCGUGAAGAAGCGGGGAUCCCACUAUAAGACGAGAAGACCCUGUGGAGCUUAAGGCUAAGCAGUUACCGCUUUUCUCUUUGCCCCCAUACCGGGCAUAUAGCGCUUAACUGCUCACCUUAGGUUGGGGCGACCGCGGAGUAAAGCUCACCCUCCGCGCUAGGGAAUCACCCAGCGAAGAGCCACAACUCUAUGCAUCAACAAAUUGAUAUAAUUGACCCAAUUACUUGAGCAACGAACUAAGUUACCCCAGGGAUAACAGCGCAAUCCACUUCAAGAGCCCUUAUCGACAAGUGGGUUUACGACCUCGAUGUUGGAUCAGGGUCUCCCAGUGGUGCAGCCGCUGCUAAAGGUUCGUUUGUUCAACGAUUAAAACCCU